ACUGUUGGAACGGUAAUCGAUAUGUGUGUCCUAAACAUCUAGUUUAAAUAGUUGUGUACUCUGUUUAUCUGUUACAUAAAUCGAAAUGGCUUACAAUUCAGAAACCUUGACCAGAUCAAGACAAACAUUUGUCAGUGUGAUUUAUUAAUGAGAAAUACGAAAGCUACAAACUAAACUCAGACGUUUGGACUCUCGUAUUGAGGAACUCAAACAGACGAUAGAAAAGCUGAACAAAGAGAUUGAAGAAGCAGCGGAAAUUUGCGAUGAAAGGGAUUUUAACAUCGUUUUUCAUCAAAUGGGCGAGAGUCUUGGACUAAUUGUAGGAGGCUUAAUGAUGGCAACAGGAGGACUACCAACUCUUGCGGUGCUCUUUACAGGGAUCGGAGCGGUGCUCAGUGUUGGAAAUGCUAGCCGAUGUUAUUAUAAGUGGCAAGAAUAUAUGUGCACGAAAGAGGUUAAAAAUUACUCAACGGAAUUGAUUGAAUGUCGUAGGAAAAGAAAAAAAGUUCAACAAACACUUAAUGCAAAGCUGAACUAACAAAUAAAAUUGGUAAAAUGUAACUAUUAAGAAAUAAAUAUAUAUAUAUAUAUAUGCAUCGACCGUUCGAAGGCGAUGACCCCAGUUUUGAUCAUUUGAUGUGUACAGUUGAUGUCCUAUUACAAACGUAUUUGAUAAGAACAGGAAAUGCAUUCUUCAUAGAUUUUUGGUGAAUCAUUUUUACUUUAUUAUUGCGUCAUUCGCGUGUAUUUCUUUUUUCCUAUCUCGGUUUUGCUUAUAUAACCAGUUUACCAAAUAAACUAAGUUUGCUCUUUUAUUUUUAAACGUGUUUUGUGUAUGUUAAUGGUCAUGUCCCACUGUUUAUUGUAUAAUCUUCGGCACUAACUGACAUAUGCAAUUACAUAUUCAAUGAAUUGAGACUUAUUGAGAUAGUAUAUUAUAAUGAACGUACUCACAACACACACAUCAUCUAUUUAAAAAAAACACUAAAUGAAAACAUCCGACGUUAAUAUCACUAACAGUCAACCGUCUCCUGAGGUUGACAAAUGUGAUCAAAAUAUGUAAAAUCAAUCUUUAUAUUAAUUAACAAACAUAAAGUAACGGGCAUACAUCGUGUUAUGGCAGUAAAUUGUAUUUUAUGUCGGAAAUAAACAAUAGCUGUA